rnacentral:tRNA from 1 species
AAAUAAGAAGUAAAAAUUACAUUUAGUUUCGACCUAAAAAUUGGCUCUUGCCCUUAUUUA